rnacentral:rRNA from 1 species
UUUCCGGUUGAUCCCGCCGGACCUGACUGCUAUCGGAUUGAUACUAAGCCAUGCGAGUCUUUGUAGUAAUACAAGGCAGACGGCUCAGUAACACGUAGUCAACCUACCCUAUGGACGAGAAUAAUCUCGGGAAACUGAGCAUAAUUCUUGAUAGAUCAUAAUGCCUGGAAUGGUUUAUGGUUAAAAUGAUUCGUCGCCAUAGGAUGGGACUGCGGCCUAUCAGCUUGUUGGUGAGGUAAUGGCCCACCAAGGCGAUUACAGGUACGGGCUCUGAGAGGAGAAGCCCGGAGAUGGGUACUGAGACACGGACCCAGGCCCUAUGGGGCGCAGCAGGCGAGAAAACUUUGCAAUGUGCGAAAGCACGACAAGGUUAAUCCGAGUGAUUUCUGCUAAAGAAAUCUUUUGCCAGUCGUAAAACCGCUGGUGAAUAAGGGGUGGGCAAGUUCUGGUGUCAGCCGCCGCGGUAAAACCAGCACCUCAAGUGGUCAGGAUGAUUAUUGGGCCUAAAGCAUCCGUAGCCGGCUUUGUAAGUUUUCGGUUAAAUCCAUGUGCUCAACGCAUGGGCUGCCGAAAAUACUGCAUAGCUAGGGAGUGGGAGAGGUAGACGGUACUCAGUAGGUAGGGGUAAAAUCCUUUGAUCUAUUGAUGACCACCUGUGGCGAAGGCGGUCUACCAGAACACGUUCGACGGUGAGGGAUGAAAGCUGGGGGAGCAAACCGGAUUAGAUACCCGGGUAGUCCCAGCUGUAAACGAUGCAGACUAGAUGAUGCAUUGGCAUAAUAGCCAUUGCAGUGUCUCAGGGAAGCCGUUAAGUCUGCCGCCUGGGAAGUACGUACGCAAGUAUGAAACUUAAAGGAAUUGGCGGGGGAGCACCACAAGGGGUGAAGCCUGCGGUUCAAUUGGAGUCAACGCCGGG